ensembl:lncRNA
AGCUGACAGUGUAGGACAGGAAGAAAAAGCAGAGGACAUAUAGGAUGGUGGAGUUACCUCAAGGUGGCUCUAAGAACUUCUGGAAUGGAUGGAGAGCACCAACUGCGUUACCCCCCACCCGGCUGACCGGCACAGGCGUACAGAGAAGACUGCGGCAGCCUCCGCCACCUCGGUCAGCUGGAGCUUGCUACACUCGCUGCUGCACACCGCCGCCAUCUUGUUACUGCCUGUGCUACUGGUCUGCCUGCCUUUGCUGCACUCAAACCAAAUCAUCAAACUCAGCCUGCGGUUGUUUCCAUGCCACUCCUGUUUGUGCGCAGCUUUGUCACAACGCAGUGCUGCGCACCAGCUACCGGACGUUGCUGCACAGAAGCACCUGGAACUUUUAUCUGGGUGUUUCUUUAAUAGCUGCCACAGAUUGGAUGCUGCAGACGGUGUUGUCAGCAUCUCUCAAACCAUCAGUAAGAUCUGUACCAUUGUAACACACACUAUGCCCGAUGUAGAUUUAGCUAAGGACUUGACAUGCCGUACACCAUUAAAACAAGUAAAAAUAAGUGAAAUGUUAUUUUACAAAUUUACAAAUGAUUCAAAGUGGCAUGUCUUCUUCGCAGGAUUUAAGAAAAUUGCUCCCGUCGAAGAAAAUCAAUAACCACAAUCUGUCCCUUAUUCUGUGUAUAUAUUUCUCUCCAGAGCCCAUAUGCCUGAGCACAUAUACUGUAUAUGCUAUCUUUGUGAGCUUGUGUGCUGUAAAGAGAGGGUGGGAAAGAGAAAGGAGGGGAGUGAGAGAGAAAGAGAGGAAUCAAGCGUCGGUAAGAAAGUCUUCCUAAUUCUGUUUGGCAGAAACUGUGCUGUUUAACCAUAUGUGCAGAGAGCAGGCUUUGCACAUGCUCAGAAUGACUCAGAGGACACGACUUUCACAUGUCUCAACGCAAUUAGAUUAACUAAUAGAUAAUUUUCCAGCAAAUAUAAAUAAGUUACAGUGAAGUCAUAAAUAAUUUAAAAAGUGUGCACUCUACCUUGAAUUAUUUUUGUUGUACUCACAGUAUGAGGUUAAAACAUGGGCAUUAGAAGGAGAGCGGGAUACAAACACAGCAAGUAUAUUCCAGCUUAUGGAAAUCUUAUUCCUGCAUUUAACUGUGCUUUGGUGCAAAACAAGUGGAAGUGUGUAGGUGGAGGCCACAGUGAUACAGCAGUGAGUUCAGAAGGUCUUCAAUCCUCUAAGACUAUAUGCCAAGAAGACACCAUGCUAAUGAAAUCAUAAAGACGGUGAAGAAAACAAGCUGUCCCUGGAGAAUACAUCCAUGCAUCGGAGGUUGCCAGUUUUACUUUACUUGCUUCUGGGUAUGCAUGUACUGUAGCUUUGCAGUGAUACUGUAUUUAUAAGGUCAAAGGCUGCUUUGCUUCAGGGUUAAAAUGCUCUCAGCCUUUAUCUUAUGAUUACCUUCAUCAGGUCAGUGAAGAUCACCCUUUGCCCCACCAGCUGAGUGGGACAGCGGGUUACAAGAGGUAUGCAAAUCACAGUAAUAUUUAUUAUGUAUAACAAGGAAGAAAAUGUAAAAAAGAAGAAGAGUUUAAAUCACUGCUGAUAUUCCUAUGAAAUACAGGGUACAAUUAGAAUGAGAUAGAAAUGAUCAAGAUGCAAUUAACGUUCAUACUUUAAAUAUUGGACAGAAAUAUGACGUUGAAUAAUUUUGGCCACUUUUAUACACAGUCCGCCAUCUUUAGGUGCUUAAAUGCAGUCGAACGAACGCUCGUUAUAAGUUGGGGGCGGUUACAGUUACAGAACCAGCAGUUCUGGCCUAUUCAGAGAGCUCAGGUGGUGGAGCAGGUGGUGGAGCAGGUUUGGGCAGGACACUGAACCCCUAGUUGCUCUCGAUGGCAGAUGAGCUGUCUGAACACGUGUGGCCUAUAAAUGCCGAUCGUCUAAAAUUUGUACUUUUAAUACUUUGUCAGGAAUCAUUUGCGGGCAGUCUGAUUUCUGAAACCUUCGGAUAUUAAUGCUUCUGCGUUUCUGCAGUUGUUUGUUUACGCGUCUUGUUAUCAGGGAGUGAAAUUCAUACUCAGUCAGACUGAGAUUGGCCGAGAAAGUUAAAUUGUCUGCAUCAUGGUUGACUAUAAUCAAUGCUGACAUUGCUUGUUGUCCUCAUUGUGUAAGGACGGAAUCAUUAGAAACACCAAGUAACAGCGUAUUACGUAGAGAGCAAAGAAUUCGUAGUUUAUCGAGCUACCAGGUCUCACGCAGAGUUAACUUUGAAUUGAUGAUUAAAAGCAAACAAUAGUCAACUGAUAGUUUUCAUGAAUGUUAUUAAUCUAGUUUAAAAUUUCAAAUUCAGUUGGAGUUUCAGAGACUUCAGAGCAGAUCGCUGAAACAAUACCGAAGCAAUAUUGCUGCAUUUUAAAUCCGUCCGUCCAAGUCAUCUUUAGGCAAAAUGCAGGAUAUACUGUGGACUCAUUACCAGUCUAUCACGUGGCUAAUACAGAACACUUGCAGUCCAUCAGCUAAGAAUGGCUGCAUGAUUAAAUCCCAUUUAGAGGAAUUAUUCACUGUCAAAAAGUCCAAUUUAUGCAGAAAGCACAUAAGAGCAAAUAUGAAUUUCUUACUGGAAGGUAAGCUCCAUACUGGAACAUCACAAUACAAGUUCAGAGAGCCUGUCCAAUGAAAUAAUUCAUUAUAAUCCAAAGUGAGCCUUCAUCAGCCUGGGAGUUGUCCUGCUAUGUUUUUAUGAUCCAGUUAACAGAAAUAAAGCCCUCAACUCUCCGGCUUGAGUAAUGACGUAAGCAGUUAACGAUUGGAAGAAUUUCUUUUUGGACAAGAGCGGAGGACGUUGAUCAUUCAGGGUCAACAAUGAGCGCCUCAUUUGUUCUUUUUUUCCCCAUUUGUAGUAUAAAUAGAAGCAGUUCAGCCUUCAGUGGAGAGUUUGUGGAGCAUACUUACUGAGUGUCGAAUGCAAAGAUGUUGCAUUCUUUAUUAUUCCAUAUCAACUGUCCUGGAAUCCGUUACACCAUUUCCCAGAAUUGCAGUCCAAAAAGUAUGUAAAUCCCAGCUGGGAAUGGGUGUAGAAUCCCAAGGUUUGUGCACGUGACAUGAACUAUUCAUUCUUCUUCUUUUUCUGUCAAAGCAUGACUUCUUAAAAAGAGUUACAGGUGUAUCUGGGCCCACCUUCUUGUUACAUAUAUAUAAUGCACAGCUGUCAAAAGUAAAUAAAGUAGAAAUCACAAACGUCCUUUGUUAGGUGUUCACAUUUAAUUGCUCCUUCAGAAAUAAAUGCAAAAUCUUUGGAAAACAGGAUAAUCUGCUAACAAGUGCCAUUUCCUUACCCAGAGGACCCAUACUUGAGACUUUGUUUCUCCCAGAAUACAAUGUUUCCUCAUUUUCAGUGAGGAACCAACCAAAAACCAAAAGGUUUUGACAUUCAUUGUUCUCCCAGAAGAUGCAUCUGCAGGCAAUCCCUAACUUUCUCCUCUAGUGCUACCAGCACAAUGAUGUACAGGUGUAUGUGGUUUUAAAAUUCAUAAGUCACCAAAUACUGGAUGGAUUUCCAUUAAAGUUUGUGCCGAUAUUCAUAUCCUUCAGUGUACCUGUCUGCAUUUUUUUAAAAAGUGUCCUGUGUUCCAGUAUUUUGGCUUGCGAUUAAACAACUGCAAAGCUAGUGAUUUGCUGCAUUACUUACAUAUUGCAGUCAUGAAUAAGAGAAGAGACUAGUCUUUCCUGGUAGACUGCAGUGAAUUAUCUUCACAGCAGCAGAGUAGACAUAGAUUGCAUGACAUGGUGCAGUUUGCACAUGGAAUGCAGAAAGAUUUCAGGCACUGAGUGAUGAAGGCCAGAUGUUUGAGUUAUGCAUAGGAAGUCAGUGGCCUACAGUUGGUACUGUAUGAAGCGAUGAUGCCAGAAACCAUCGCCGGCAUAUACCAUGUAAUUAAAUUUAAGGAAGCCCACUCACAUAUUACAGCUUGUAUAUAAAAGCAAUACAUGUUCCAGGUUUGAAAAAAACAGACAUCAAAAAACAUUACAUAAACACAAGUGCCUAAAUAAAAAUAGAAACGGUAUAUGAGUAAGAGGUGUUGCUUAUGAUUCACCUGGUUACAGUUUGCAUAGCAACUAAUUCUAGUUUUUUUAUAUAUAUAUAUAUAUAUAAAGUUUUGCUCAAAAAUAAAAAAUAAAGAAAAGCUUAAGAGUCUGAGAGGUUGUUGUGAAUGUUGUGGAUUUAAUGAUUGGUCAAAAAUAAAUAAAACAUAAAUAUAAGCGAGGUCAUUAUAUCGAUAUCUUCAAUUUUGUCCUUCAUUUGUAGAUGUUACGGAAAUUAAUCUUUUUAAACUUGGAGAAAAGAAACAAGUUCAAAAGAGGACUUGUUUACCAGAAAAUAUUCCUUGCACAUUGAUUUGCAGCACGCAGUGUGGUUACAUUAUUAAACUAUAGACACCCAGCAAUGGUAAAUAUAUACUGAAACUUACCUCCUCCUCCUAUAGACGGUUUUCUCUUGUUCUUUCUCCCUCCUUUUUGUCUCGUCUUGCACACAGUUACACAUGCACACUCCCAGCCUGUCUGCGUCUCACACUCAAACACGCACACACACACACACGCACACACACGCACCGUCUUUUGUUUGGAGUCAGACGGCAUUGAAGGCAGAUCCUGUGGCCCUUCUGAGGAGAAUGUUAAUAUGCCCGCUCUGGUCUCUCUGGGGACGCAGAGAAUGGACUCGGGCUGCUAAUGCACUGUCACACUAACCCCGCUAAGUAUUCUCACAGUUAGCAACAGCAGCGCUGCUCCCAGAACUGAAAUGUAUUUAACUAAACUCGCAACCUACUGAAUCGUAAAGACUUACUUUAGAUUGUCCUUUCACAAAUAACUGCCUCAUUUGCCCACCUUUCUGUGCCUGCAAACAGAGAUAUGGCAGGUGGGCUAUUUGUUGAGUGCAGUUAGACUUAUUUCACUUUCAUUAGCACUUUAUUUAUGUGGACUCAUUAGGGGCAGUUUGCUCCCCCACACUGAGGUAGGCUUAAUGGAUUAUACUAACGACCUACACAAGCACACGGUAUUCAGUUACAUGUAGAGUUUAAACAAGUCAAAUUAUCUUUAAAGAGUUUGGGCUCGGUAUCGUUUUUGCUAACUUUGGCUAAAGGAUGUAUUUUUGCUUGUGGUUCAGUGAAAUCCUGCUAUUCGAACUGUGGUCACCUGAGUGGAAGGAAAAUGUUCCCCACUUACCAAACUGGUGUGAGGAGUAACUAUGUUUUCAUUUAUGUCAUGAAUAAAAUAAAACUAUUUUUGCUAUUUAAGAGCAUUAAAAAUGAAAAAUAAAUUAAUAACAUUUACUUCAUGUUGUAUAUUGGCUGUGGUCAUUGUGUCCAUGUGCUGAGCCUGUGGAUCACAGUUGCAUGCAGUAAUAGUCAAAGGAUAUUUAAGGUAUUACUAUAUAAACUAUGUAUUAUCAUGGAUUAAAUAUAUUAUAUAAG